GACGAACGCUGGCGGCGUGCUUAACACAUGCAAGUCGAACGGAAAGGCCCUGCUUUUGUGGGGUGCUCGAGUGGCGAACGGGUGAGUAACACGUGAGUAACCUGCCCUUGACUUUGGGAUAACUUCAGGAAACUGGGGCUAAUACCGGAUAGGAGCUCCUGAUGCAUGGUGGGGGUUGGAAAGUUUCGGCGGUUGGGGAUGGACUCGCGGCUUAUCAGCUUGUUGGUGGGGUAGUGGCUUACCAAGGCUUUGACGGGUAGCCGGCCUGAGAGGGUGACCGGCCACAUUGGGACUGAGAGACGGCCCAGACUCCUACGGGAGGCAGCAGUGGGGAAUAUUGCACAAUGGGCGGAAGCCUGAUGCAGCAACGCCGCGUGCGGGAUGACGGCCUUCGGGUUGUAAACCGCUUUCGCCUGUGACGAAGCGUGAGUGACGGUAAUGGGUAAAGAAGCACCGGCUAACUACGUG
rnacentral:rRNA from 1 species